rnacentral:snRNA from 1 species
GAUUGGCUCUCUUUAGAGGAGAG